CUGGCAGCUGAAGGGGAAGGGUCUGUGCCUGGAGGUUGCUCUGGCUGUUUGGUUGAGCAGAAGGUUCUGGACACCAGGACUUCUUCAAAGAGAUGUGAGGACUCCACUGAGGACCUUGAUGGACGCAGCAGGAAGCCACAGCCAACGCUGGACACCAACAUCAACACUUGAUCUUGUCUGGCAAGGUCUAUUGUUCCCAGAGGGCGUUCUUGCUGUUCUGGCCAUUCGAUGGAAUUGGUGAGAUCCCCUUGGCUUCCGUGUCUCGCUCUGGCCAGGCAGAUGUGGUGCGCCAACGGUAUGCAGAGUCCAGACCCUGAGCAGAACAACUGAGGAGAGAGGCUGCCCUGGGUGAGACAGGAGAAGUGCCCCUUGGAGUGGGGGACGCCCCACUGGCGCUGCCUCUCGCAUCCACCGGCAGCACGUUCCUUCUCUCUCCUUGCUGCCCGGCGCUUUGCCGUCUCCCAGGGCUCACCAAGUCCAAAUGUUCCCCGAUGGAGUCCAACUCCAGCUUGACCAACACUCACCCGUGACCCAAAUGCAGACUGCUCUGCGUUGCCCAAGCGUGAUGCCAAGAGAAGAGGUAGGCACCAGAACAGGCUGCUGGACUGGAGACUCCGCCACCAGGUGCCGUUGUCAUUCCUGACCUCCCCAGGUUGUGGCGUUGGACGUGCCCUGAUCCUUGGAAAGGGGAGGCAGUGGAGAGUUGUGACCCUCCCGAGUGCUGCAAAGGCUCUACUGAGGCUCUUGGUGGACACAACAGGAACCUGCACGCACAGAUGGAUGCCAAGAUCCGCUCCUUCCUCUGUCUGGCAAGCUCUGCUGACCCCUGAGGUUGUUCCCAUGCUUGCAGAGGUUGUAUGGGCUUGGUGUUGGUUGUUGCUUGUGCUCACCUUGCUGUCACCGGGUGUUCUUCCUUUGCC
ensembl:lncRNA